rnacentral:rRNA from 1 species
UACGUAGGGGGCAAGCGUUGUCCGGAAUCAUUGGGCGUAAAGCGCGCGUAGGCGGCCCGGUAAGUCCGUUGUAAAAGUCGAAGGCUCAACCUUCGAAAGCCGAUGGAUACUGCCGGGCUAGAGUCCGGAAGAGGCGAGUGGAAUUCCUGGUGUAGCGGUGGAAUGCGCAGAUAUCAGGAGGAACACCCAUAGCGAGGGCAGCUCGCUGGGACGGUACUGACGCUGAGGCGCGAAAGCGUGGGGAGCGAACAGG